CCUACGGGCGGCAGCAGUGGGGAAUAUUGCACAAUGGGGGAAACCCUGAUGCAGCAACGCCGCGUGAGUGAAGAAGUAUUUCGGUAUGUAAAGCUCUAUCAGCAGGGAAGAAAAUGACGGUACCUGACUAAGAAGCCCCGGCUAACUACGUGCCAGCAGCCGCGGUAAUACGUAGGGGGCAAGCGUUAUCCGGAUUUACUGGGUGUAAAGGGAGCGCAGACGGCCGUGCAAGUCUGGAGUGAAAGGCCGGGGCCCAACCCCGGAACUGCUCUGGAAACUGUGCGGCUAGAGUGCUGGAGGGGUAGGCGGAAUGCCUAGUGUAGCGGUGAAAUGCGUAGAUAUUAGGAGGAACACCAGUGGCGAAGGCGGCCUGCUGGACAGUAACUGACGUUGAGGCUCGAAAGCGUGGGGAGCAAACAGGAUUAGAUACCCGUGUAGUC
rnacentral:rRNA from 1 species